rnacentral:rRNA from 1 species
UGCAGUCGAGCGGAAGGCCCUUCGGGGUACUCGAGCGGCGAACGGGUGAGUAACACGUGAGCAACCUGCCCCUGACUCUGGGAUAAGCCCGGGAAACUGGGUCUAAUACCGGAUACGACCGCCUCCGGCAUCGGGUGGUGGUGGAAAGUUUUUCGGUUGGGGAUGGGCUCGCGGCCUAUCAGCUUGUUGGUGGGGUAGUGGCCUACCAAGGCGACGACGGGUAGCCGGCCUGAGAGGGCGACCGGCCACACUGGGACUGAGACACGGCCCAGACUCCUACGGGAGGCAGCAGUGGGGAAUAUUGCGCAAUGGGCGGAAGCCUGACGCAGCGACGCCGCGUGGGGGAUGACGGCCUUCGGGUUGUAAACCUCUUUCAGCAGGGACGAAGUUGACGUGUACCUGCAGAAGAAGCGCCGGCUAACUACGUGCCAGCAGCCGCGGUAAUACGUAGGGCGCAAGCGUUGUCCGGAAUUAUUGGGCGUAAAGAGCUCGUAGGUGGCUGGUCGCGUCUGCCGUGAAAGCCCGCGCCUUAACUGCGGGUCUGCGGUGGAUACGGGCCGGCUAGAGGUAGGUAGGGG